GUGACGCAGGAGGAUAGUGUGUGCUAGCUAUUGGAUGCUAGUCUAAGCGUUUAGGCAGUGAGAGUAGGCAAAUCCGCUCUCAUAAUGCUGAGGCGUGAUGGGGAAGGUUCYACGGAACCGAAGUACAUGAUUCCACGCUGCCAAGAAAAGCGUCUAGAGAGAGAAGUAGUGCCCGUACCGCAAACCGACACAGGUAGGUGAGGAGAGAAUCCUAAGGCCGGCGGAAGAAUUACAGUUAAGGAACUCGGCAAAUUGACCCCGUAAGUUCGCGAGAAGGGGUGCCUACGAGAGUAGGCCGCAGAGAAUAGGCCCAAGCAACUGUUUAGCAAAAACACAGGUCUCUGCUAAAGCGUAAGCUGAUGUAUAGGGGCUGACGCCUGCCCGGUGCUGGAAGGUUAAGGGGAACACUUAGCGCAAGCGAAGGUGUGAACUUAAGCCCCAGUAAACGGCGGCCGUAACUAUAACGGUCCUAAGGUAGCGAAAUUCCUUGUCAGGUAAGUUCUGACCCGCACGAAUGGCGUAAUGACUUGGGCACUGUCUCAACUGUAAAUCCGGCGAAGUUGUAGUGCGAGUGAAGAUGCUCGCUACCCGCGAUUGGACGGAAAGACCCCGUAGAGCUUUACUGUAGCUUAGCAUUGAGUUUUGGUAUUGUCUGUACAGGAUAGGUGGGAGACUAGGAAACCAGGGCGUCAGCCUUGGUGGAGUCAACCUUGGGAUACCACCCUGACAGUACUGAAAUUCUAACUGGCGGCCAUGAAUCUGGUCACAGGACAUUGUUAGGUGGGCAGUUUGACUGGGGCGGUCGCCUCCUAAAAAGUAACGGAGGCGCCCAAAGGUUCCCUCAGAACGGUCGGAAAUCGUUCGAAGAGUGCAAAGGCAGAAGGGAGCCUGACUGCGACACCCACAAGUGGAGCAGGGACGAAAGUCGGGCUUAGUGAUCCGGUGGUACCUCGUGGGAGGGCCAUCGCUCAACGGAUAAAAGCUACCUCGGGGAUAACAGGCUGAUCUCCCCCAAGAGUCCACAUCGACGGGGAGGUUUGGCACCUCGAUGUCGGCUCGUCGCAUCCUGGGGCUGAAGUAGGUCCCAAGGGUUGGGCUGUUCGCCCAUUAAAGCGGCACGCGAGCUGGGUUCAGAACGUCGUGAGACAGUUCGGUCCCUAUCCGUCGCGGGCGUAGGAAAUUUGAGAGGAGCUGUCCUUAGUACGAGAGGACCGGGAUGGACUGACCUCUGGUGUACCAGUUGUUCCGCCAGGAGCACAGCUGGGUAGCUAAGUCGGGAAUGGAUAAACGCUGAAAGCAUCUAAGCGUGAAGCCAACCUCAAGAUGAGAUUUCCCAUAGCGUAAGCUAGUAAGAUCCCUUGAAGAACACAAGGUUGAUAGGUCGGGGGUGUAAGCAUGGUAACAUGUUCAGCUGACCGAUACUAAUAGAUCGAGGGCUUGACCAA
rnacentral:rRNA from 1 species